rnacentral:lncRNA from 1 species
CCUGAUUAAAAACUUUUGUCUACUUAGCUGGUUGCAAUGGCAGAGGUUUGUAGUCUCAGCAACAAGGGAGGCUGAGGCAGGGAGAUGGCUUGAGUCCAGGCAUUCAACACCAGCCUGGGCAACAUAACAAGAUCCUAUUUCUAAAACCAAACCAACAAAAUCUAUCCAGUGAUAUUCUCCUGUUUUCUUCUAAGCUAUGUAUUUUAAUGAGACUUUAUAUUUUCUUCCAUUCUAACUUUAGCAUACAUACAGAAAAUUGUAGAAAUUUCAAAUGCAUAAUUUGAUAAAUCUAGGACCAACGCACUACAUAAUCAGCAUUGAGAUCAAGAAAUAAUACUACAGCAGAAAUUCAGGAACUAGUUUUUACCGACUUCCUAGAUAAUUCUUCUGCAGCUUUCUUGGCCCUAGUUAAUUAACUGACCUAAGUUUAGAAAUCUUUAAGUAAAAAAAAAAAAAGACUAAGUAAAUAUAAUUUGCAUAUAAGAGUACUAUACAACUAUACUACAUAGCUUUCUAAAUAUGCCCUUUAUUAUAUAGUUUUCUUGUUUAUGGAACUGUGAACCUAAAAAUUUUCAAGCAUACUAAAUUACAGCAUAAUGAUGAAUAUAUAACUCACAAACAAAUGUAUUGUUAAGAGAAGUUGACUGACUACAUACACACACAUGCAAAUGUACACAUGCAUGUAUAAUUGAUAAUCAUUGAGAAUAAAAUGAAGUAGAGCACUUGAUUUACAAUGUUGAAAAGUAUUUCUUUGCUUUCCAGAGCUCAUUUCUCUGAAAAUAAGUUGUUAUAGGUGUGUGCUUCAGAAGUCAUAUAGACUCAAUGUUUUGUUUUGUUUGGAAGCAUGAACAGCAGUUUCAUUUUAAGAGCAUUAGAAAUGUCUAUCACUUACUUAUUUUGAGACUCAAGUCUGCUGCUCAAUUGAAGUUUAAGUGUUUUUGAAUAAAUUUAUUUUUAAGAAUCAAAUGAAUGAUUCCAUUGCCACCAGUUUAUUUGCAAAGACAGGGUAUUGGACAAGCAUCUUUUUACAUACUUCCUGUGGAGAGACAUAUUAGCUUUCAAAAAUUUAUUUUAAAAAUAACAGUAGUUUGUUUUGUGUUCGUUUUCACAGAAAGCUGAGUUCAGAUCCUGCAAAAAAAUAGUUGUGAAGUUUAUUUUAACUAUUACUCAAACCAGUGAAUUUUUAAAUAACUGACUUAUUUUCAAUUUUUCUUCAUAAAAAUUAGAAAAUAUAUAAAAAUACCAAAUAUAGAAAAAGUAAAAAAAAAAAAAGGUAAUACAAUUACAAUGCACUGACAUGCAAUGAUAAUCAGGAAUGUAAUUAUUUUCUCCCAAAUGUUUUUAAACCUCAAAUAAAUAUUUUAAACUUAGACGUGAAUCACUACGUUAGUGAUUCAGAUAUAGAGAAUUAUAUUGAUUUACUUCUAGAAUGAGUUUUUGAGGUCAUCUUGCUUUUUCCCCUUAUUCUACAAAGGUAUCAUUUUAAUUACUUUUUGCAAUAACAUGAAAAAAUACAGAGGCCUUUUUUAAAAUGAUGGUGUCAUAUACAAUAAUAUUAUGUCUAAAUCUGUAAGGAUUGUUGCUGAUUCAUUUAAAAAUAGUUACAUCAUUAUGUGGGGUAGUUACUAGCAUUUUAGGCUUAAUAGGAAAAGCUGGGAGCUGUCCUGAACUCACUCACCACCUUCAUUUUCUCAUCCAAGCAAACAUUAAGCCCCCCAGCUUCUAACUCAUUAAAAGUCUCUUAAGCCAUUUUCUUAGUCCCAGUCAUUAUCUUCAUCCUAGCCCUCAUCAUCAUCUUCUCUCUCCUGGAUGAUUGCAAUAGCCUCUUCUUUUACUUCCUCCAAUCUUCCUAUUUAAUACCGAAACCAGAUUGUCCUCUUGUUUGUCUUAGGAUAAGGUAACUCCAUUGUUAUGUGAUAAUUCAGCAUGACCAUGCAUUAGCCUCAAGUACUUCUUUCUCCUACCUUUACAUUCCAACCAGAGUGCAUUUCUUUCUCUGCCUCCAAGGUCCCAGGCUCCUCUUGCUUCUACCUCUGAAAUACCUGCUCCUUCCCCUGAUCCUUCUGCCUGACACAUGUUCUAUCUCUAACAAUGCCUCCCUUCAAGGAGGACUUCCCUCACUUGCACAGCUCUGCAUUGGGUACUGGCAUGUGUCUGACAUCCAAGGACUCUUCAUUGUCCUCGCUGGACACUUAUGACAGUGAUUACUUGUUCUUUAUUAGUUUCCUGUAAGAUUGCAAAUUCCAAGAGUGCAAAAUAUUCUCAGCUUUCUACCCUGCUCUAGUCCCUGUUUCUGACAUGGUGUCUAAUACACAGUAGGCUUUCAAUACAUAUUUUUGAAUAAAUGAGUAAAUAAAUGAGAUUAAUAUAUUAGCUUGGAAGAGCUAAGCAAGCAGCCCAAGGCAUAGACAGGAAAGAGACAUUAAAAAAAUUAGUUAUUUACAGUGACAUGAAAUAAUCCUCUAAUGGGGGUAUAUAUUAAAUACCAUUGGGAAAGCAAUCUCUACAUCUGCUGCCUAUGGAGUGGAGUGUUUCAGAGAAAAGGGAGAAUUUUAGUUGAGUAAAGAGAGAUUGUAGACAUUUUUAAAGCAAAGAAGGUAGGGGAUAGCAUUCUAUGUAAAAAGAACAACUUGAACAAAGAAAUACAAUCAAGAAAAGACAACUAAUAUCCCCAAAUUUCAAGCAGUUCCACAUCCUGAGAGAAUAUCUGAGUAGAGGAGGCUGCACAGAUUACUUUACAGUGAAGACCAUGAUAAGACAGCAUUUUUUCUUAUUUCCAAGGUGGAUAAAUUGCCACUCAAUGCCAUCACUGCUACAUUUCCUUCAUCAUCUAUGUGGUAAAGCCCGCUUCGCCAUUAAAGACAUAAUUCUGAUAUCCCAAUCUGUCUCCUUACUCUAUGCUCUCCUUUACAUUUUAAUCUUCUUACAGAUCAAUUCUUUUACCUUUUAAAUUUUGUUUCUUUAUCUCAAUAUUCUCAGGCUACAGAGAAUAGUUCUAAUCUUCUUGUAAGGGGAUAAACUGAGAAUUAAGCAGAAAAAUCUUUCCGGUAGCCUUUGAGCUCAGAAAUAAUUGUUCUCAGAUGCAUAAGUUUGGUUUAAGUAAUUGGCAUUAAGAUAAGCAGUAAUUAACUAGAAAAAUAUUAUGUGCAAUCCAAUACCGGUUACCCCGUAUUUCCAUCCAUAAAAGAUGGUGACUUCCUCAUUCUAAGAAUCUUAAUAAAUAAUAUUUAUUUGUCUAAAAAUAGAAAAGUAGAAAGCAGAAAACAAACAAAUCACAUCAAUCAUCCUAGUUCCCAGAGUUUCUGUUGGCAUAGUAAGAAAAAAUUAUAUGUGUAUAAGGUUUUGAAACAAUUAACAAUGCACAAACAUAAAUAUUAGACAUCAGCUCUACCCCGCCCCCAUGGUUUCCCUCUAACAUCCCUCUCCUAAGAAAUAUACCCAUACCUCAUUUCUUAUAUCCUUUCAAAGAAAAAAAAAUCUUGAAUUUAUGGCAUACGUGGAUUCUUUGAAAAUAUAUACACCAUGCUAUGACUCUACGUUUUUCCUUUAAAAAUAAAGAAUUAAAUGCCUCUGGCAUCUUCCCUUUUUUCAUCCUUUUUUAAUGGCUGCAUAGCUCAUUGUACAGAAGUACUAUUUUUCAUGGAAUUCGUCCCCUUAAAUAUCUCCAUGGUUGCCAGUUUUUUUUUUUUUCUAUUAUGGGCAAUGUUGGAACAGAUAUGAUUUUAUAAACAUCUUUGAUUUUCUAUAGCCUUAUAGCUGUAAAAUGAAUCUCUAUGUUUAAAAGUAGAAAUGCCUGACAGCCUGGUUGCACAUGCCUGUAAUUUCAACUUAGUGAAACCCUGUCUCAAAACAAAAAAUAAAAAGGGCUGGCGAUGUAACUGAGUUGUAGAGUACUGUUGGGCUCAACCCCUACUACUAUAAAAUAAAACAAAAUAAAGUAGAAAUUCUAUAUACAUGUGAAUAUGCAUUAAAAAUUUUUAUCCAUGUAGCCAAUUCUCCAAGAAAAUGAUAGACUAAUUUACACGUCCACCAAGAGUGUAUAAAAGUGCUUGUUUUCCACAUUUUUGCUAUUAGCAAUCUUUAAUGUUGUGCAUACUAGGGGUAAAAAAUUAUAUUAUUUUUUGGAUUUGCAUUAGUUUAGUUAAAUUAUACAAUUCAUUUUCUUUUCUAAUAUUUAUUAUCUGUUUGAAUAUAUAUAUCUCUGAAGAUGGGAGUUAUAAGGAUUUUGUUUUGUUUUAUUCUCAUCUUAUUUUGUACCCCCAAUUUCAAAGCAUAUGGGGGAGGGGAGCAUAUAUUAGUGAACUUCUCAAAUGGGACAUAUUUACUACCAAUAACAUUUGAAAUAUUUUUAGGUAAUGGAAUAUUUUUAUUUCAUGCCCAUUUAUUUAUUUCUAUGAGAAUUUUGAAAAAAUUGUUUAUAAUAUGUUUUUAAAUUUCUAUUUAAAAAUACACUUAAUGUUGAAUCUGAG